rnacentral:hammerhead_ribozyme from 1 species
NUCCAGCUGACGAGUCCCAAACAGGACGAAACGCGCAUCCUGGAU